rnacentral:rRNA from 1 species
CCUACGGGGGGCUGCAGUAGGGAAUCUUCCACAAUGGGCGAAAGCCUGAUGGAGCAACGCCGCGUGGGUGAAGAAGGUCUUCGGAUCGUAAAACCCUGUUGUUAGAGAAGAAAGUGCGUGAGAGUAACUGUUCACGUUUCGACGGUAUCUAACCAGAAAGCCACGGCUAACUACGUGCCAGCAGCCGCGGUAAUACGUAGGUGGCAAGCGUUAUCCGGAAUUAUUGGGCGUAAAGGGAACGCAGGCGGUCUUUUAAGUCUGAUCUGAAAGCCUUCGGCUUAACCGGAGUAGUGCAUUGGAAACUGGGAGACUGGAGUGCAGAAGAGGAGAGUGGAACUCCAUGUGUAGCGGUGAAAUGCGCAGAUAUAUGGAAGAACACCAGUGGCGAAGGCGACUCUCUGGUCUGUAACUGACGCUGAGGUUCGAAAGCGUGGGUAGCAAACAGGAUUAGAUACCCUAGUAGUC